CCAGGCAGAGAAAGCUCCAGUACUUGGGGUUCAGGCCUUUCUAAGUGACCCUGGGUGAAGUGCUGUGGGCUCCCCAGGCUGAGCGUGGAUGGGUCCAUUCAAACCAGAGGAGCAGGAAUCUGAAAGCAGGGAUCUGAAACUGUAUUGUAAGAAGCAGAAGAAUCUAGGAGACAUUCUAGAAAUGCAGGAACCAAAACCCUGAGGAACCAAAACCAAAAUCCCAGGCCGCUGAGCAACUAAGCCCGUGUGCCACAACCACUGGGCCUGUGCUCUGGAGCCCGAGAACCACAACUGAGCCCAUGAGCCAGAACUACUGAAGGCCAGGCACCCUAGGUGCUGUGCUCUGCAGCCAGAGGAGCCACCGCCGUGAGAAGCCUGCUCACUGCAACUAGAGAAAAGCCCGCACAGCAAUAAAGACUCAGCACAGCCAAAGAUAAAGAAAUAAACAAAA